AGUGAACGCUGGCGGUAGGCCUAACACAUGCAAGUCGAACGGCAGCACAGUAAGAGCUUGCUCUUACGGGUGGCGAGUGGCGGACGGGUGAGGAAUACAUCGGAAUCUACUUUUUCGUGGGGGAUAACGUAGGGAAACUUACGCUAAUACCGCAUACGACCUACGGGUGAGAGCAGGGGAUCUUCGGACCUUGCGCGAUUGAAUGAGCCGAUGUCGGAUUAGCUAGUUGGCGGGGUAAAGGCCCACCAAGGCGACGAUCCGUAGCUGGUCUGAGAGGAUGAUCAGCCACACUGGAACUGAGACACGGUCCAGACUCCUACGGGAGGCAGCAGUGGGGAAUAUUGGACAAUGGGCGCAAGCCUGAUCCAGCCAUACCGCGUGGGUGAAGAAGGCCUUCGGGUUGUAAAGCCCUUUUGUUGGGAAAGAGAAGCAGCAGGUUAAUACCCCGCUGUUCUGACGGUACCCAAAGAAUAAGCACCGGCUAACUUCGUG
rnacentral:rRNA from 1 species